CCUACGGGUGGCUGCAGUGGGGAAUAUUGGGCAAUGGGCGCAAGCCUGACCCAGCAACGCCGCGUGAAGGAAGACGGCUUUCGGGUUGUAAACUUCUUUUAAGAGGGAAGAGCAGAAGACGGUACCUCUUGAAUAAGCACCGGCGAACUACGUGCAAGCAGCCGCGGUAAGAAGUAGGUGGCAAGCGGUAUCCGGAUUUACUGGGUGUAAAGGGCGUGUAGGCGGGGACGGAAGUCAGAUGUGAAAACCACGGGCUCAACCUGUGGCCUGCAUUUGAAACUGUGUUUCUUGAGUACUGGAGAGGCAGACGGAAUUCCUAGUGUAGCGGUGAAAGGCGUAGAUAUUAGGAGGAACACCAGUGGCGAAGGCGGUCUGCUGGACAGCAACUGACGCUGAGGCGCGAAAGCGUGGGGAGCAAACAGGAUUAGAUACCCUUGUAGUC
rnacentral:rRNA from 1 species